UCCAGCAUGGUAGUUUGCACGGUGCUAGA
rnacentral:piRNA from 1 species